rnacentral:misc_RNA from 1 species
UUGUGGAGGAGGACGCCGAAGGUGGGGCUAAUGACUGGGGUGAAGUCGUAACAAGGUAGCCGUACCGGAAGGUGCGGCUGGAUCACCUCCUAACAGGGAGACAACAAAAUGUUUAAUAUUAUUUUGUCACCUUAGGUCGAUCGGUAUCUCACGUUUUUAAUUUAUUAAGAAUUUCAUUUCCUAAGUUUUUUCUAGGUCACACCCAUUAUUUUUCCUGGGCCAUUAGCUCAGGUGGUUAGAGCGCACCCCUGAUAAGGGUGAGGUCCCUGGUUCAAGUCCAGGAUGGCCCAUAUCUCUAUGUUGGGGGUAUAGCUCAGUUGGUAGAGCGCCUGCUUUGCAAGCAGGAUGUCAGCGGUUCGAGUCCGCUUACCUCCACUGAUUACCACCUCUUCCAUAAUUUAUGAGAAGGAAAUGUUUUGAGUAGUGAUCAAAUACUGAACGAAGCUAGCUUCCUAAUGAAAUCAUUAAGAUGCUGGACUCAUUGAAUUAAUUUCAUUGUUUUCAGAGAACCUUGACAACUGCAUAGAUUAUUUUUGAAGACACUAAGCAUCUUUAAUGAUGCAGAUUUAUUAUUUGUGCGAAUGCAUUAAUAACAAUUCUAUUAAGCUGAUGCUUCAAUUUUGAAGCUAUUGGUCAAGCUACAA